rnacentral:rRNA from 1 species
GACGAACGCUGGCGGCGUGCUUAACACAUGCAAGUCGAACGGAAAGGCCCUGCUUUUGUUGGGUGCUCGAGUGGCGAACGGGUGAGUAACACGUGAGUAACCUGCCCUUGACUUUGGGAUAACUUCAGGAAACUGGGGCUAAUACCGGAUAGGAGCUCCUGCUGCAUGGUGGGGGUUGGAAAGAUUCGGCGGUUGGGGAUGGACUCGCGGCUUAUCAGCUUGUUGGGGGGGUAGUGGCUUACCAAGGCUUUGACGGGUAGCCUGCCUGAGAGGGUGACCGGCCACAUUGGGACUGAGAUACGGCCCAGACUCCUACGGGAGGCAGCAGUGGGGAAUAUUGCACAAUGGGCGGAAGCCUGAUGCAGCAACGCCGCGUGCGGGAUGACGGCCUUCGGGUUGUAAACCGCUUUCGCCUGUGACGAAGCGUGAGUGACGGUAAUGGGUAAAGAAGCACCGGCUAACUACGUG